rnacentral:rRNA from 1 species
GAUGAACGCUGGCGGCGUGCCUAAUACAUGCAAGUCGAGCGAACAGACUAGGAGCUUGCUCCUCUGACGUUAGCGGCGGACGGGUGAGUAACACGUGGAUAACCUACCUAUAAGACUGGGAUAACUUCGGGAAACCGGAGCUAAUACCGGAUAAUAUAUUGAACCGCAUGGUUCAAUAGUUAAAGACGGUUUUGCUGUCACUUAUAGAUGGAUCCGCGCCGCAUUAGCUAGUUGGUAAGGUAACGGCUUACCAAGGCAACGAUGCGUAGCCGACCUGAGAGGGUGAUCGGCCACACUGGAACUGAGACACGGUCCAGACUCCUACGGGAGGCAGCAGUAGGGAAUCUUACGCAAUGGGCGAAAGCUUGACGGAGCAACGCCGCGUGAGUGAUGAAGGUCUUAGGAUCGUAAAACUCUGUUAUUAGGGAAGAACAAAUGUGUAAGUAACUAUGCACGUAUUGACGGUACCUAAUCAGAAAGCCACGGCUAACUACGUG